rnacentral:lncRNA from 1 species
GUAGAGGUUUGGCGUGUGGCCUGCGGGUUCCCCGGGCGGGUCGACGUGCGCUCCUCUCUGGUCUCGAGUCACCAGGACCAGAUCGAGGAUGCGGCCGACCCCCUGCCCGAUGUGGAAAGCGAAGUCUCCACCUCGUGAUUGGGUCUCUGCUGUCAGAGAGCUUCACGAGCUUGAGGGGAAACAGACAGAGAGGUCUGGGCAUUGGGCAGUUUCCCGCCUCCCAGCCCCGCGCACUGAACAGACUGUGACCAGAACUGCGAACAAAGCGCGGAGGGAAGCUCUUAAAGGAGGCCAAAGCGGCCGGGCGCUGUGGCUCACACCUGUAACCCCAGCCUGUAAGCCUAGCUACUCGGGAGGCCGAGGCAGAAGGAGCGCUUGAAGCCAGGAGUUGGAAGCUGCAGUAAUCCGUGAUCGGACCGUUGCACUCUAGCCUGGGCAACAUAACGUCCUUUGAAAAAAAAAAAAAAAACAGAGGCCAAAACGGGUAGCAGUGGUGCCCGGGCACCAAGGAUGGAAGGCCUCUCUGAGGAGGUGAUGCCGAGCUGAAGCUGGGAAGCGGAUGUGAGGGAAGAGUUCCAGGCAGAGGGAAGGCAAAUGCAGAGAUCCUCAGGCAGGAACACUGAACUGUUCUCCGUAUUUGAGGAGCAGAGGGCGUGUCAGUGGUGGCCGCAGCAGCUGAGCAAAGGCUGGAGUGCAGUGAUGCAAUCUUGGCUUACCACAACCUCCACCUCCAGGUUCAAGCGAUUCUCCUGCCUCAGCUUCCAGAGUAUCUGGGAUUACAGGCACCCACCAUCAUGCCCAGAUCAUUUCUGUAUUUUUAGUAGAGACGGGGAUUCACCAAGUUGCCCAGGUGCUUCCUGGUGGUCCUUGGUUGGAGGGUACUAUCAGAAAUGGAGGAGCAACAAAGAUUCAGCUGAAGCCCUCACUGCCUGGGACUGGGACCCUUGACUCGUCAUUGUAUGCACACCUGAAACUGCUUAUGUCGCUGAGGUGCCAACCUGCUGAUGGUUGGAAGCUAAUUGAGUUCUGAUAUUGUGUUGAUACCCUUAAGCAUUGGGUUUACUUUUUAUUUUAAUUAAUUAAUUAAUUAAUUUUUGAGACAGAGUUUCACUCUUGUUGCCCAGGCUGAAGUGCAAUGACACGAUCUCGGCUCACCGCAACCUCCGCCUCCUGGGUUCAAGCAGUUCUUCUGCCUCAGCCUCUUGAGUAGCUGGGAUUACAGGCAUGCACCACCACACCUGGCUAAUUUUAUAUUUGUAGUAGAGACAGUUUCUCCAUGUUUGUCAGGCUGGUCUCAAACUCCUGACCUCAGGUGAUCCACCCGCCUCGGCCUCCCAAAGUGCUAGGAUUACAGGCGUGAGCCACCAUGCCUGGCCAUAUUUUUUAUUUUUCAUUUUUUACUUUUUGAGAUAGGGUCUCACUCUGUUGACCAGGCUGGAGUGCAGUGGUACGACUCAGCUCACUGCAACCUCUGCUUCCCAGCUCAAGUGAUUCUCCAGUUUCAGCCUCCUGAGUAGCUGGCACUAAAAUUAACCAAUGCCGGUUAAUUUUUUUUUUUUUUUUUGGCGGGGGACAGAGUCUCGCUCUGUCUCCCAGAGUGGAGUGCAGUGGCGCUAUCUCUGCUCCCUGCAAGCUCUGCCUCCCGGGUUCAAGCAAUUCUCCUGCCUCAGCCUUCUGAGUAGCUAGGGUUACAGGCAUGCGCCACCACACCUGGCUAAGUUUUGUAUUUUUAGCAAAGAUGGGGUUUCUCCAUGUUGGUCAGGCUGGUCUCAAACUCCUGACCCCAUGAUCUGCUCACCUUGGCCUCCCAAAGUUCUGGGAUUACAGGCAUGAGCCACCACACCCAGGAAUGCCGGUUAAGUUUUAUAUAUAUAUUUUUUUGUAGAGAUAGGGUUUCACUCUGUUACCCAGGCUGGUCUCAAACUCCUGAGCUCAAAGCAAUCCUCCCACCUUGGCUUCCCAAAGUGCUGGGAUUAUAGAUGUGAGCCACCAUGCCCUGCCAAGCAUUGGGUUUAUUUGGUUUUUCAGUUUUUUUACUCCUGGAAUAAGGCCCCCACACUGGAUUUUUGGUUAUCUGAUCAAAUAUUUAUUUUGUCCUUGGUGCAAUUGUUUUCUGUCCUUCUACACUCAUUCCUAUGGUGUUUUCUUGUCUAGUAUUUUGAAUAUUGUUUGUCUAUAAGAGGCAAAGUCGAUAUAAAAAGGAUGGAUGUAGGCUGGGCGCGGUGGCUCAGGCCUGUAAUCCCAGCAACUUUGGGAGGCUGAGGUGGGUGGAUCACCUGAGAUCAGGAGUUCAAGACCAGCCUGGCCAAAAUGGUGAAACCCCGACUACUAAAAAUGCAAAAAAUUAGCUGGGUGUGGUGGCAGGUGCCUGUAAUCCCAGCUACUUGGGAGGCCAAGGCAGGAGAAUCGCUUGAACUUGGGAGGCAGAGGUUGCAGUGAGCCGAGUUCGUGCCAUGGCACUCCAGCCUGGGCGACAGAGAAAAAAAAAAAAAAGUCUCUGUCUCAAAAAAAAAAAAAAAAGAAAAGAAAAGGAUGGAUGUGUAGCCUCGGAUGUCUAAGGGCAUCACAAACCUAUUAUUGCUGAAUCUCUGGUGACCGAACACAACUUAUCCCUCUAGGAAGGUAGGGAUGCCAACUGUUGAGGGGUUGUGCAACUAGUUAGCAUCCGAGAGUCUUAUUUGUUAUCAGAAUUAACCAGAGAAAUCACUCCAGCAACCAAGAGCCAGUAAGUGUGUCCUACAACCAGCUCCAGAGACUGUACAAUUCGGAAGGUAUUCUCAGACUAAUGUCCUUUGGGUAAACUUUGCCCAGGUCACCAUUUCUUUUUUGUUUUUGUUUUUUGAGACAGAGUUUUACUCUUGUUGCCUGCUGAAGUGCAAUAGGACAAUCUCAGCUCAGCUGCAACCUCCACUUCCCGGGUUCAAGUGAUUCUCAUGCCUCAGCCUCCUGAGUAGCUGGGAUUACAGGUGCCUGCUACCAUGUCCGGCUAAUUUUUGUAUUUUUGAUAGAGACAGGGUUUCACCAUGUUGGCCAGGUUAGUCUCGAACUCCUGACCUCAGGUGAUCCACCCACCUCUGGCUCCCAAAGUGUUGGGAUUACAGGCAUGAGCCACCACGCCCAGCCCCAGGUCACCAUUUCAAAGCCUUGAAAAGGAUUUCUUUGGUUUUGUCUAUGUCCUUGCAAACUGCUUUGUUUCAUUUCUUCUGCUCAGUAUCAGGGGGCUUUCUCUGGCCUCUGAUCAGCGAUGGUGUUUGGCCACAUUCUAGAGAUACGAAGUUGUAUAAGCACCAUUCUUUUAGACCCCAGUCACAACUAAAAUUGGGCCAAAGACCUGCUCCCUUCAUGUUUUCUCACGAUUGCAAUAACAUGUACCCAUAUAUCUGUAACUGACACAAUUUCACCAGGGACAGUUUGUAAUUGCCGUAGCCAUUUGGUGGAACUUUUGAUAAUAACAAGAUUGUUCAUUUGGGAGGUGCCUCAGAACACAAAGGGAAGAAACCUUUGUGAGAUUGUUUGCCUUGUUUGUUAAAAACAAAGAUUAUUUUGUUUAACAUAGGCAAUAUUUCAUUUACCUAUUUUGCAUAUUAAUAAAUGCUGUCGGCCAGGCACAGUGGCUGACACCUGUAAUCCCAGCACUUUGGGAGGCUGAGGCGGGCGAAUCACUUGAGGUCAGGAGUUUGAGACCAGCCUGGCCAACAUGGUGAAACCCCGUCUCUACUAAAUAUACAAAAAUCAGCCAGGCUUGGUGGUGCGCACCUGUAAUCCCAGCUACUUUGGAGGCUGAAGCAGGAGAAUUGUUUGAGUCCAUGAAGUGGAGGCUACAGUGAACUGAGAUCAUGCCAUUGUACUCCAGCCUGGGCAACAAGAGCAAAACUCCAUCUAAAAAAAAAAGAAGGCCCUCACCAGAUGUGGCUGCUUGACUUUGGAAUUCCCACCCUCCAGAACUGUAAGAAAUAAAUUUUUAAAAAUAAAGUACCCAGCCCCUCAGGUAUUCUAUUGCAACACAGAAUGGACUAAGACAGUGUUUAUAUGUCAAAAUCUAUUUUCCUGUGUUUAAACUGUCUUCCUUCUCCUUGCAGAGGGAAUAUAACCUUAGCCUUUUGGAGUGAUAAUUUCAUGUUUGUCUGAAGUAGCUUCUUCUCACAUUUUCUUUUUUUUUUUUUUUAUGUUCAAAAUGCUUUUAUUUCUAGGAAUUUAGUUUUAUUUUUAAUUUUUUAAUUAUUAUACUUUAAGUUUUAGGGUACAUUUGCACAACGUGCAGGUUUGUUACAUAUGUAUACAUGUGCCAUGUUGGUGUGCUGCACCCAUUAACUCGUCAUUUAGCAUUAGGUAUAUCUCCUAAUGCUAUCCCUCCCCCCUCCCCCCACCCCACAACAGUCCCCGGUGUGUAAUGUUCCUCUUUCUGUGUCCAUGUGUUCUCAUUGUUCAAUUCCCACCUAUGAGUGAGAACAUGUGGUGUUUGGUUUUUUGUCCUUGCCAUAGUUUGCUGAGAAUGAUGGUUUCCAGCUUCAUCCAUGUCUCUACGAAGGACAUGAAUUCAUCAAUUUUUAUGGCUGCAUAGUAUUCCAUGGUGUAUAUGUGCCACAUUUUCUUAAUCCAGUCUAUCAUUGUUGGACAUUUGGCUUGGUUCCAAGUCUUUGCUAUUGUGAAUGGUGCCACAAUAAACAUAUGUGUGCAUGUGUCUUUAUAGCAGCAUGAUUUAUAAUCCUUUGGGUAUAUACCCAGUAAUGGAAUGGCCGGGUCAAAUGGUAUUUCUAAUUCUAGAUCACUGAGGAAUCGCCACACCAGCUUCCACAAUGGUUGAAGUAGUUUACAGUCCCACCAACAGUGUAAAAGUGUUCCUAUUUCUCCACAUCCUCUCCAGCACCUGUUGUUUCCUGACUUUUUAAUGAUCGCCAUUCUAACUGGUGUGAGAUGGUAUCUCAUUGUCUUCUCACACUUUCCUGCUGUCCAUUUCAUUCUCUUUUUCCUCACCUCUCUUGGAAAGCUUUAAAG